AUUGAACGCUGGCGGCAGGCCUAACACAUGCAAGUCGAACGAGUGGCGGACGGGUGAGUAAUGUCUGGGAAACUGCCUGAUGGAGGGGGAUAACUACUGGAAACGGUAGCUAAUACCGCAUACCAUCGGAUGUGCCCAGAUUGGAUUAGCUAGUAGGUGGGGUAAAGGCUCAACUAGGCGACGAUCCCUAGCUGGUCUGAGAGGAUGACCCGGCACACUGGAAAUGGGACACGGUCCAGACUCCUACGGGGGGCAGCAGGUGGGGAUUUUGGACAAUGGGGGCAAUCCUGAUUCAGGCAUGCCGCGUGGGUUAAGAAGGCCGUCGGGGUGUAAAGGUCUUUCAGCGGGGAGGCGUUACCCGCAGAAGAAGCACCGGCUAACUCCGUGCCCGCAGACGCGGUAAUAC
rnacentral:rRNA from 1 species